GACGAACCGUGCGAACGUUAUUCGGAAUCAUUGGGCUUAAAGGGCGCGUAGGCGGCGGUGUAAGUUGGAAGUGAAAUCCCAUCGGCUCAACCGUGGAAUUGCUCCCAGUACUGCAUCGCUCGAGGGGGAUAGGGGUUUGCGGAACUACCGGUGGAGCGGUGAAAUGUGUUGAUAUCGGUGGGAACGCCAGUGGCGAAAGCGGCAAACUUGACCCUUCCUGACGCUGAGGCGCGAAAGCUAGGGGAGCAAA
rnacentral:rRNA from 2 species